AACGAACGCUGGCGGCGUGCCUAACACAUGCAAGUCGUGCGAGAAAGUUCCUUCGGGAGCGAGUAAAGCGGCGCACGGGUGAGUAACACGUAGGUAACCUGCCCCCCCAGUCUGGAACAACUAGAGGAAACUCUAGCUAAUGCCGGAUGAGACCACGAUCCCUUCGGGGGUUGCGGCCAAAGAUGGCCUCUACUUGUAAGCUAUCGCUGAGGGAUGGGCCUGCGGGCCAUUAGCUUGUUGGUGAGGUAACGGCUCACCAAGGCUGUGAUGGCUAGCUGGUCUGAGAGGAUGACCAGCCACACUGGGACUGAGACACGGCCCAGA
rnacentral:rRNA from 1 species